AUUGAACGCUGGCGGCAUGCCUUACACAUGCAAGUCGAACGGUAACGGGCCUUCGGGCGCCGACGAGUGGCGAACGGGUGAGUAAUGCAUCGGAACGUACCUUUCAGUGGGGGAUAACGUAGCGAAAGUUACGCUAAUACCGCAUAUUCUGUGAGCAGGAAAGCAGGGGAUCGCAAGACCUUGCGCUGAUUGAGCGGCCGAUGUCAGAUUAGCUAGUUGGUGAGGUAAAGGCUCACCAAGGCGACGAUCGGUAGCUGGUCUGAGAGGAUGAUCAGCCACACUGGGACUGAGACACGGCCCAGACUCCUACGGGAGGCAGCAGUGGGGAAUUUUGGACAAUGGGGGCAACCCUGAUCCAGCCAUGCCGCGUGCGGGAAGAAGGCCUUCGGGUUGUAAACCGCUUUUGUUCGGGAAGAAAAGGCACGUCCUAAUACGGCGUGUUCUUGACGGUACCGGAAGAAUAAGCACCGGCUAACUACGUG
rnacentral:rRNA from 1 species